rnacentral:rRNA from 1 species
CCUACGGGCGGCAGCAGUGGGGAAUAUUGCACAAUGGGCGCAAGCCUGAUGCAGCCAUGCCGCGUGUGUGAAGAAGGCCUUCGGGUUGUAAAGCACUUUCAGCGGGGAGGAAGGCGUUAAGGUUAAUAACCUUGUCGAUUGACGUUACCCGCAGAAGAAGCACCGGCUAACUCCGUGCCAGCAGCCGCGGUAAUACGGAGGGUGCAAGCGUUAAUCGGAAUUACUGGGCGUAAAGCGCACGCAGGCGGUCUGUCAAGUCGGAUGUGAAGUCCCCGGGCUCAACCUGGGAACUGCAUUCGAAACUGGCAGGCUAGAGUCUUGUAGAGGGGGAUAGAAUUCCAGGUGUAGCGGUGAAAUGCGUAGAGAUCUGGAGGAAUACCGGUGGCGAAGGCGGCCCCCUGGACAAAGACUGACGCUCAGGUGCGAAAGCGUGGGGAGCAAACAGGAUUAGAUACCCCGGUAGUC